UAGGGAAUCUUCCGCAAUGGACGCAAGUCUGACGGAGCAACGCCGCGUGAGUGAAGAAGGAUUUCGGUUCGUAAAACUCUGUUGUUAGAGAAGAACAGCGCAUAGAGUAACUGUUAUGCGUGUGACGGUAUCUAACCAGAAAGCCACGGCUAACUACGUGCCAGCAGCCGCGGUAAUACGUAGGUGGCAAGCGUUGUCCGGAUUUAUUGGGCGUAAAGCGAGCGCAGGCGGUCAAUUAAGUCUGAUGUGAAAGCCCCCGGCUCAACCGGGGAGGGUCAUUGGAAACUGGUUGACUUGAGUGCAGAAGAGGAGAGUGGAAUUCCAUGUGUAGCGUUGAAAUGCGUAGAUAUAUGGCGGAACACCAGUGGCGAAGGCGACUCUCUGGUCUGUAACUGACGCUGAGGCUCGAAAGCGUGGGUAGCAAACAGG
rnacentral:rRNA from 1 species